GCUGGCAUAUUGAAUGCUCUGCUCUUGCAAGCUUCUUUUUAGGCGAUGAAUUGGAUGUUCAUGCUGGAGGAAUUGAUUUACAAUUUCCCCAUCAUGAAAAUGAGGAGGCUCAAUCUUGUGCUUAUUUUACAAAGCAACAGUGGGUCAACUAUUGGAUUCAUACAGGACAUCUUCACUAUGGAGACGCCCAAAAAAUGUCAAAAUCUUUAAAAAAUACAAUAACAAUUACUGAAAUGCUGGAGAUUUGCAGCUCUAAUGACUUUAGAAUGGCAUGUCUCAUGUCUCAUUACUCAAAAAACAUGGAAUUCAGUACCGAAUUGAUUAAAACAGCCAAAGGAGUAAUAGACCACUAUAAAAAUUUUCUAUCUCAUUGUUCAGCAUACACAGAUUGUACCCUUAAUGUGAAAUUAAACCAAAAUGUUUUGAAAGAGAAUUUAGCAAAUGUAGAAAAGGAAAUUGGCUGUGCUUUAUCAGAUGAUUUUGAUACAGCUAGAGCACUGAAAAGCCUUCAUAAUCUAACUAGUAAUGUUAAUAAAAUGCUAACUAAUUCUCCUCCAAUCCCUGAAGAUGCUAUGAACAGCAAUGUAGAAAUCUUAGCCUGUGCUAAUUAUGUAUCGAAUAUUUUAUCCACAUUUGGAAUUAAUUUAAAUCCAAAAUCCCAUACAACUAAACAA